rnacentral:rRNA from 1 species
GAUGAACGCUGGCGGCGUGCCUAAUACAUGCAAGUCGAGCGAACAGAUGAGGAGCUUGCUCCUCUGACGUUAGCGGCGGACGGGUGAGUAACACGUGGAUAACCUACCUAUAGGACUGGGAUAACUUCGGGAAACCGGAGCUAAUACCGGAUAAUAUAUUGAACCGCAUGGUUCAAUAGUGAAAGACGGUUUUGCUGUCACUUAUAGAUGGAUCCGCGCCGCAUUAGCUAGUUGGUAAGGUAACGGCUUACCAAGGCAACGAUGCGUAGCCGGCCUGAGAGGGUGAUCGGCCACACUGGAACUGAGACACGGUCCAGACUCCUACGGGAGGCAGCAGUAGGGAAUCUUCCGCAAUGGGCGAAAGCCUGACGGAGCAACGCCGCGUGAGUGAUGAAGGUCUUCGGAUCGUAAAACUCUGUUAUUAGGGAAGAACAAAUGUGUAAGUAACUAUGCACGUCUUGACGGUACCUAAUCAGAAAGCCACGGCUAACUACGUG